AAAAAGGAAACUUAAGGAUUAACUGUAGUAGUGUUUUCUUGAGUCUCUAUAUUUUAUCAAUAAUAAACAAGAUGCCUUUAAAUUACCAAAACGAAGUCAUUUUUUUGAAAAGUUUUUGGACACAUGUAUUUCAACUGCGUUGAAAUAUUGGAAACCAAUUAUUAAAUUCAAUAUGGAGGUCUUUUUGACGCAAAAAUAUUAAAUUAGUACAAUACAGUUAAAUAUUGUCAAAAAAAAAAUACUGUAAUUCAUUCAGUUUUAGCAAAUCAAUAAUAAAUAGGUAUGUACAAUGAAAUCAAACAUGAGUCUUGUGUUAUUUGCAGCGUAUUUUUUCGGACUUACUAUUUCCGGCAAUAGUGAACCUGACGAUUAUUUGCCCGUAUCUGUACUAAAUCUUCGUAACCGUUUACAUAGUUUUAAUUUUGUUAAAUUUUUAACGGAAGAGCAAUUAGCAGACAAAGAAUUUUUAGUUUCGUUGGACAAAGAGUAUAUUGCAGUAUCUCUAGAAGCAAGAAGGUUAUUUCGAGAUCACAAAUAUAACGAAGGACGUGAUUUGUUAUUCUAUUCAAUAAAAGAGAGAACUAUCGAUAACCCAGCAAUAAACACACAAAAGGUGGUACAGGAUUAUUUUGGUGGAAAUCUGGACAACGUUGUAAAUCAAUUAAAGGACCUCGUCCAAAUGUUCCUAUGGGAAGUGCAAUUUGCUGAACCAUCAACAUCAGCAGCAGCAUGAGAUGAUGAUGGAAUGUUGAAUCAUAAAUUCAAAAUUUAUCUUUUAAUAAAACAAGAAAAUUGUUGAUUUGUAAACUAUAUAAUUGUAUUUCAUUUGGUAGAAUUUCUCAUAUUUUACAAAUAAACUAUACAUUUUAAA